GAGGGGCCGGUGCGGGCGGAGCUGUCGCCAACCCGGUCAGAUCCGGAAGGAAGCAGCCGUAACGAAUUUGCUUCGGGUCGUGCCGGUCCCUCACC
rnacentral:SRP_RNA from 1 species